UACGUAGGUGGCAAGCGUUGUCCGGAAUUAUUGGGCGUAAAGCGCGUGUAGGCGGCUUUGCAAGUCGGAUGUGAAAGCCCUCGGCUCAACCGAGGAAGUGCGUUCGAAACUGCAGAGCUUGAGUACCGGAGAGGGUGGCGGAAUUCCCCAAGUAGAGGUGAAAUUCGUAGAUAUGGGGAGGAACACCGGUGGCGAAGGCGGCCACCUGGACGGUCACUGACGCUGAGACGCGAAAGCGUGGGUAGCAAACAGG
rnacentral:rRNA from 1 species